UUUCCUAUUCAGAUCUUCCUCUUUUCUCAAAUCUGGAAGGGAGCAGCUUGCUACUGUUCAAUCUGCGGAGAAGAUGGGUCUCAAGAGACUAUUCCCUGCUAAUUUGGCGACCUCUCCUGAAUCAGCUUCAGAUGGCACUGUGUGUGAAGAGUGAAUGAUUUCCUGAUCGUUGAUUACCAGAAUUGGACUUGAUUCCCAGCAGCCUUGUAAGAUCUCAUCUGUUGGUGAAUAUUGGUAGCAGUGAUGAAGGGAUGAUUCAACAACAAAAGUUCUGGAGAGAAAAUAGACAUCUCCCUCCUCAUUCAACACCUUCAGUCCUAUGGCCAUAAUCCUCCCAGUUAGAAGGCAUUUGGGGAAAUAAGGAACAUAAUUAGCAUUUACCUAUACAGAAUCACAACUAAGUGAUUGCUUACUACUUUCUCUCUUUUUAUGCCUUCCUAUUUCUUUCCCUAGUGGGUUCAGCACGGGAAAAGUCUGGCUUUGUAUCAUCCCAGAGUCAUGGAGCAGAUUUCCAUACUGACCUCAAAGACCAUCUGAUGAAAACAUGAUCCCUUUUGUUCUAUAGGGAUAUAUAAAAACAUUAUAAAUCA
rnacentral:lncRNA from 1 species